UGAAACUUCUGCUGAAUUCUUGUGUGCUGCACUGAGUUAGAAGUCUUACCUCAAAACUGACUCCAACUUUGCAAAGAAGUCUGCAGGAAUUUCUACCUAGCCGACCGCCGUCAUUUAUUUGAGCAGCUCAGUACAUAAUUAAGAAGCCCUGGAGCCUGGGACAGCCUUUUAUCUUGAAAAGUGGCUCUUCCAGACCCUACCAAUCCCUGCACCCAGCACUGGGUUUGGCCAGUGAGUAAUGGAAAAGCAAGGGAACGCCGAGGAAUCAAAGACAGUGUGCUGAAGAGAUGAGAAAGGACAAUACGAGUCAUGUUCUUGCAGUGCCCAACAGAAGCUGCACAACACUGGUUUUCCAUCUUUUGUUUCAAGUUUGUAUAAUCUCCACUGAAGGAAGCACAGGAGGAAAUAAGUGUGGGGGCAUGGCAAGAGUAGGGCAAAGCGAGCCAGCCCCAGGCAAUGGAACAGAAGAAUCUACAGCCCAUGAAGAUAAACACCACACAUGCUCUGUCCUGCUCCUAAGUGUUCUUCAUAAGCAUGUCUGUAAUCACAAUGAUGACUACCACUACUUCUCAAACUGCAGCCCAUUGUCAAUUAUUUUUCAUGAGCAACAACAUUAUCAUGACUAUUACAGGAUGAACAUGUAUGAUUGAUUCUUCACUUUCUUAAUUAAAUACUUAAUGAUACUAAUGAAUUAAAGUGGGCCACUCAUUCACAAGCACUUAUGGAAUCACAGAAUCAUAGAAUCGCUUGAGUUGGAAGGGACCCUGACAGGCCAUCUGGUCAAACUCCCCUGCAAUGCACAGAGACACCCACAUCUCCAUCAGUUGCCCAGCCUGACACUGAGUGCCUCCAGUUAUGGAACAUUCACCACCUCUCUGGGCAAUCUGUGUCAGUGCUUCACCACCCUUGCUGGCUCACAUCCAGCUUGCCAUCCACCAGUACCCCUAUCCACCAGGGAUCUGCAGCGUCCCUGUCCGUGUGAUGCAGGAGAUACAGAUCUCCAGCAUCCUGGAGCUGGUGCUGGGAGGUCAGGAGAGACACACAAAGGCAUCAGAGCAGUAAGACCUGUGUGUGUUUGUGUGCAUGGGCAGCUGCGUCCCAUGCAUGAUGCCCAAAUCUGGAGCUGAAACUUGACUUCUUGAAGAUGCCAAAGAGAAUAGAAGAGAAUGAGAAUGAGUCCAGCCAUAUUAUCAUCAUCCUCUUCUGCCUUCUCUUUGCACAUUGCACAGGAAUGUGGGUGACAUGGCUUAAUGGGCAUGGUGGUGAUGGGUCGGUGGCUGGACUUGAUGAUUUUAGUGGUCUUUUUGAACCUUAGUGAUUCUAUGAUUCUACAAAUUUGGUUCAUUUAGGCUAAAUAGCAAUCAUCCAGCACCUGCUGAAAAGUGAUUCCGCAACUCACCUUUGCGCCUCUUCAACGCCAGAUUUCCAUGCUGCCAGCACCGAUAUGGGGAUCAUGACAUACAUACCUGAGUGCUUGGGCUGCCCCCUGAGCUGUACUUGCAUUGAUUUCUGUGUAGUGUUGUACAAAAUGCCAUGCUGAGCCAUGGUGGCUGAAAGCAGCGGGCUUUUUUUUAGUGAUAUGAAAGGGAGUGACCUGCUUACCCUCAGUGCUGAUGGGUUUAACUCUGCAGCCUGUAUGAUAAGGUAGCUGUUGACAACUGACCUCAGCACGGGGCUCAGGCUCACACAUCUGUACAUGCAAUAAAAGCCCUCAACAGCUUUGCAUCUGCAGCUUGCACUGCCUCUGUCCGAUGAUGAUGCUUUUUUUUUUUUUAUCAUGCAGUGAAUGCAAAAGAUUAACACUUGGAAAUAAUGCUCAUGGGAGAGAAUUUCCUGAAGGGCUACUAGCUGCAGAAACAGCACUUCUGGCAGUUUGUGAGAACGGGGCUGGCACUCAAGGCAAUGCCACUGUUUGCCCUCUUAUACUCUUCUCCAAACGCUUGAUCCCUCGGUGUCAAUCCCUCAGCUCCAGUUCCUUUGCUGUAAGAAGGACCCAGGAUUGGCCAUGUCUGUGGAUCUUCUUUACUUCCCACCGUCUUGAAUCGGUGUCAUUUUGUGCAGUGUCUCAGCUUGCACCAACCCACCCAAUUCCUUUGAAGUCAAUGUGACUUCAGGGUGCAAGGAGCCACCCCAGGGCAUGGCUGAUCUCCUUUUUCAUGUACCAUGCAGUGCACAGACCGCAGUGUGCUGCAGACUGGGAAGUGUACCGAGACAAAAAAGCGCCAUUGUAUACGAGUUGGUGUCAAUUAACUCUAGGAACGUUUUGAAUAAAUUAAAUUAUGC
ensembl:lncRNA